GUGGGGAAUAUUGGACAAUGGGCGAAAGCCUGAUCCAGCCAUGCCGCGUGUGUGAAGAAGGUCUUCGGAUUGUAAAGCACUUUAAGUUGGGAGGAAGGGCAGUAAGUUAAUACCUUGCUGUUUUGACGUUACCGACAGAAUAAGCACCGGCUAACUUCGUGCCAGCAGCCGCGGUAAUACGAAGGGUGCAAGCGUUAAUCGGAAUUACUGGGCGUAAAGCGCGCGUAGGUGGUUUUGUAAGUUGGAGGUGAAAUCCCCGGGCUCAACCUGGGAACUGCCUCCAAAACUGCAUGACUAGAGUACGGUAGAGGGUAGUGGAAUUUCCUGUGUAGCGGUGAAAUGCGUAGAUAUAGGAAGGAACACCAGUGGCGAAGGCGACCACCUGGACUGAUACUGACACUGAGGUGCGAAAGCGUGGGGAGCAAACAGGAUUAGAUACCCGAGUAGUCC
rnacentral:rRNA from 1 species